GACGAACGCUGGCGGCGUGCUUAACACAUGCAAGUCGAACGGAAAGGCCUGCUUUCCCUUGUGGAUUGCGGGUGCUCGAGUGGCGAACGGGUGAGUAACACGUGAGUGAUCUGCCCCCAACUUGGGUAUAAGCCUGGGAAACUGGGUCUAAUUCCCGAUAGGACUGCAGGGUGGUGCCUGUGGUGGAAAACGAUUUUCUAGUGGUUGGGGAUGAGCUCGCGGCCUAUCAGCUUGUUGGUGGGGUAAUGGCCUACCAAGGCGGCGACGGGUAGCCGGCCUGAGAGGGUGGACGGCCACAUUGGGACUGAGAUACGGCCCAGACUCCUACGGGAGGCAGCAGUGGGGAAUAUUGCACCAUGGGCGGAAGCCUGAUGCAGCGACGCCGCGUGGGGGAUGACGGCCUUCGGGUUGUAAACUCCUUUCGACCGCGAGGAAGCCGCCUGGUUGGAAGGGUGGUGACGGUAGUGGUAGAAGAAGCACCGGCUAACUACGUG
rnacentral:rRNA from 1 species